rnacentral:rRNA from 1 species
AUUGAACGCUGGCGGCAUGCCUUACACAUGCAAGUCGAACGGUAACGGGCCUUCGGGUGCCGACGAGUGGCGAACGGGUGAGUAAUACAUCGGAACGUGCCCGAUCGUGGGGGAUAACGAGGCGAAAGCUUUGCUAAUACCGCAUACGAUCUACGGAUGAAAGCAGGGGACCGCAAGGCCUUGCGCGGACGGAGCGGCCGAUGGCAGAUUAGGUAGUUGGUGGGAUAAAAGCUUACCAAGCCGACGAUCUGUAGCUGUCUGAGAGGAUGAUCAGCCACACUGGGACUGAGACACGGCCCAGACUCCUACGGGAGGCAGCAGUGGGGAAUUUUGGACAAAGGGCGCAAGCCUGAUCCAGCCAUGCCGCGUGCAGGAUGAAGGCCUUCGGGUUGUAAACUGCUUUUGUACGGAACGAAAAGCCUUCUUUUAAUACAGGAGGGUCAUGACGGUACCGUAAGAAUAAGCACCGGCUAACUACGUG